rnacentral:piRNA from 1 species
UNGACCAUUCCCCAUGCUCUCGAUCAAUGC